GGUGCGGUGCCAGAGUGGUUAAUGGGUAUGACUCGAAUUCUGGAACGUAUAACGAUAUCAUAUGUCUUCGGACGCAGGAGUUCGAAUCUCCUCCGCAUCG